GGCUCAGAUUGAACGCUGGCGGCAGGCCUAACACAUGCAAGUCGAACGGUAGCACAGAGGAGCUUGCUCCUUGGGUGACGAGUGGCGGACGGGUGAGUAAUGCCUGGGAAACUGCCCGAUGGAGGGGGAUAACUACUGGAAACGGUAGCUAAUACCGCAUAACGUCUUCGGACCAAAGUGGGGGACCUUCGGGCCUCACACCAUCGGAUGUGCCCAGGUGGGAUUAGCUAGUAGGUGGGGUAAUGGCUCACCUAGGCGACGAUCCCUAGCUGGUUUGAGAGGAUGACCAGCCACACUGGAACUGAGACACGGUCCAGACUCCUACGGGAGGCAGCAGUGGGGAAUAUUGCACAAUGGGCGCAAGCCUGAUGCAGCCAUGCCGCGUGUAUGAAGAAGGCCUUCGGGUUGUAAAGUACUUUCAGUGGGGAGGAAGGC
rnacentral:rRNA from 1 species